rnacentral:misc_RNA from 1 species
CGUUUCGCGGAUUUCGUACGUACAAUACACGGGAAUCCAAUACAAAUUUUGUGUGUAGAUUUCCUAUGCAGACAACGUAAACAAUCUUCACUACGAAAAGAUACAUGGACUUGGCAGCGAGAUUUCUUUGAAAAAGACUUGUUCUGUUGAUAUUUUUACAACUCUAACGUUUGGUGAAGGACAGGAAAACUCACGAAAAUGCCGGGUGUCGGCAAAACAAACAGCAACACUCCGAUUACGGAGCAAAUAUCAGAAUUGCAGCGUAAAAUCUCCUUGUUAGAUGGUGACAGGAAAGCAUAUUACGAGAGUUCCCAGUGGACCAUAAAGCAGAACCUCGAGGUCAUCCGUAAGUUGCGACAGGAGAACAAGACCCUACACAAGCGGCUAGCAGCAAGCAAGGCGGGAGAUGACCGGGUACUGGAUAUUGCCUUCAAGUCUCGAGAGGUGGAGCGCGCUUCACUCAGAGGCAAAUCUGGACGGGAAGCAAUCCGUAUUAUGGACCAGAAGGCGUGUGAGGCCAAGAAAAAACUCAACGCUGAGAAGGCCCAGACCCUGAAGCGAUUGAAGAAUUUUGCCGAGCUUGAGGUCCAGCAUGAUCAGAUGAUCAAGGAUGCAUCGGAUGCAGAGGCUACCACAGCAGGGACAUCAGAAGAUGCCACAACCCUACGCUCGCUGGAGAAUCGUCUGGACAAGGCCAACCUUAAACUUCACGAGGCAGAGCACAUCAACCGAACCUAUCUGGCCAUCAAAGAACAGAUGAUCAGGGAUAGUUUGACCUUUGGCAAUGACCUCGACGGUGAAGAGAACGAGAUAGAUCAUCUGAAAGAAGAACUGAAAGAACUCCAGGCCAUGAACAAGGAUGCUCAGAUUGCACGAGAUGCUGCUAAGGCUGAACUGAGCAAGCACGAAGAGACGGUUUACAGGGAGAGACGAGAACGAGAAGAAGCGCUAGCUGUACUCAAGAAACAGGCCGAGGAGAAGAAGGCACAUGCUGAACGGGUGGAGAGAAGGCUCCAGAGAGCGUCUAUCCAACAUGAUGAGCUCACGCCAGAACAGAAGCAGUUUGUCACCGGGGAGGAGGAAGAAAAGAAGAUCAGUACCUUUGAGGAAGCAUUCCAGGCAAUGAAGGAAGCUACAGGGGUAUCGGAUCUUGCGGAGGUUGUUAAUAGGUUUGAGAACCAGAACUCCACGUACCAGCAUCUGACGGAGCUGAAGGAAGCGAAUGAGAAGCAGGUGGUGCGUCUCAAGGAAGAGAAAUCUAGACUCAAUACAGACUUUGAGGAGAUGAAGUAUUCCGGAGAAGCCAAAUUAUCAAGUGGGCAGAGAAUGUUGGAGGAGUUCCAGGCCCAUCUUAAGACUGAGCAGGACCGUUGUGACGAGUCCUCUGAAAAGCUUGAUAAGUGCAGCAAGAUCCUAGUCCAGGUCAAGGCUGGUGUAGCCCAUUUAGCUGAUAAGCUUCAGCAUAUCAAAGCAAACAAGGGCCACGUACCCCAGGCCCAGCUGUCCUCGGAGGCUGACGAAUAUGUCCUAGAUCUCCUGGCUACUUGUGAAGAGAAGCUUCUUAAACUCAUGGAGGAACUGGAUGGUUUUGAUGUACAGGGGACGCUCAAACAGAUAGAGGAAGAAGAGUUUCAAGUUGGAAUUGAAGGAUCGUUGCCAGCGCAAAACACUCGUAUCAAGCUACCUACCACACAGAGGGAUACGACUUAUGAUGAUGAGGAAAGUGGUGAUGACGAAGACAUCGUUACCAGGAACGCUCUCAAGAAACAGGCUCAGAUGCUUGUGGAUUCCAAGACCAAGAAGCACAAGGUCCGGGCCCGCAAGAAGAAGGGUGUCAAGUAAGACCAGGUCCAGAUUCCAGAUCCUGGCCCAGCAUGGAUGGAAACCUUGGGGUUAUUCUAUUCCUGUGUAUAAUGUGACAUAAUGCUAUAACAUCUUGAGUAAUCAUUCCUUCUAAGCCUCUUCCAUGAUAGUCCGCAAAGCAGGGAGUUAUUCUUAAGGGCAAUUGCUUGGGUUUGCAUGGACUUGAUCUACAAGCAGUUGGUCUAACUCUCAGGCGGUCUAAUACCACAUGGGCUGAACCCAUUUGGUCUACUUCCCAGGUGGUCUUAUACCACAUGGGCUUAACCCAUUCGGACUGUUAUCAGUUUGGUCUAAUUGCUCUUCGGUAUACAACUGUACUUGGUCUUGUAUCCACUUGAUCUAAUUGUCCUUGUCAGUCUAUCUAUUUUCCACUUAAAAAGAUGAAAAGAUGAAAUGGGAAUUCAUAAGCAUUUCAACUAAUAAAGCCAAAGUGGAAAUUAAACAAAAUGUUAGAGAGGCUAAAUGACAAUUAGACCAAAUGGUUUCAAGAUGGACUAGUUUUUGAUGAACUGGUAUUAGACCACUGUGAGAUGAGACCAAAUGGAAUGUAGACCGUGUAGGAGAUAGACCAAGUGGCAAUUUACCUAUCUGGGACUCUACUCGUAUGGUUUGGCUCUGUCUUUCUAGUUUAAAUGAAAAGUUGCAAUCCUCUCAAAUUAUCAUGUCGUGAGCAGUUCAUAAGCUGAAGUAAGACUCAAGAAAAAAGAAGCUCAGAUGUACAGAAAUGUUGAUUAUGUUUAUGGCAUUGACCCUAAGUCACCUUGAUGUUUGUUUUGAUGUGGUGCAGCAGUCUCUACAUGUUUAAGUGUGUAAGUCAUGGGGAAUAUGUAAAAAGCUAGUCACUAUACACCUAUACCAUGAACAACUAACCUGUACAGUAGUACACAUCAUGCUGACCAAAGUGAAAUGGUAUUAGCAAUUUUUGGGGAGUUUUUCAUAAAAAGCAUGUUUUCAGUGAUUUUCACUGACAACCUCGGUCUGAGCCAAUCAAAUGCGUGGAUUUCAGUAGCCUAUGACACAUAUUCUGUGAAUAUCUGUGAAUAUCCAUGUCGUGGUAUUUGGUGCAUUACAUCUGAACAGACAUUGAGGCUUUGAAAUAAGGUGUGGGGCGGGGGUUAGACUUCUAUUGACUUAAAAAAAGAUCUGUUAUUGAUCUUUAGCUGGAGAACUGCUUUGAAAGCAAAGUUCUUUAGGUGUCAGACUCCUUAUACACAUGAAAUCCUUGGCCCGGAACCACAGCACCUUUGAGGAAAAUUGAUUGAGAUUAAGUAAAUAACACAUGCUUUGAUCUUUGAUCUAUUCUGAUUUGAAAAUUUACUUGACUUUUAGGCGAUUAUUCAACUUACAGAAUAUCAACCUACACAUAUUUAAGUGUGUAUUGUAUUUAUGAUUACUAUGAAAUGUGAAGAUAGACAUUAUAUCGUUGGUAAUGUCCAUGUGAUAUCCGUCCAUACACUAUUCCUGUAAAAGAUAAGAUUGUUUUUACAAUAUAUUUUGUUAUCUAUCUUCUGGGUCUAGUCUUACAAAGAGUUGAGACUGAAGUUAGACUGAGAACUGUAUUUUCACAUUCCCCUUUUAUAAGUCAUCAGAAUAACACAAAUAGUUAUUUAAUUUAUUUCAUAAUGUAUUUGGAAAUGUCACUAACUGAAAUGAAUUUGAUUUUCCCUUGAUGCCCACAAUCAAAGUGUUGAUUAUUAAUUUAAUUACAUCACUAUUAUACUGACGAUAACAAUUUGAUGAUGAAAUUUGUGAUUGGAUAAUUUUCUUUAAAUAUUUCUUUUUUUUUAUAUUUCCUUUUCCAAAGUAAAGAUCAUCAUUGUAAAUUAUAUAUUUACUUGUUUAUAGAAUUGGGUGAACUGCUCAUUUUUUUUAUUUCCAAUUAUGAAACUGAAUUUAUUUUCCCCAUUUUAUUUAUCACAAACAACUGUGGUUUUCCAAUUCCCUCAAUUCUUUAUGUUAAUCUUGUGUCUUAAAAUUUGCUUUGUAAACUACUGAAACAUGUAUAUAAAUAUGUAUUAAUAGAAUGUUUUUUUUUUCUCUGCAGAAAUUAGAAAAACGAUUUUGUACAGCUGUUGAUAUUUCAUAUUGUUACCUGUUACCCCUGUGGAUGAAGAUACUAAAGAGAGAAUUAAAAUAUUGCUUUUAAUAUGA